GCACCUCUUUCCUAUUCCUUGCUGUGCAGUGCAGGUCUGGGGACAGUUGGUGCUACAGCACAGCAGCAGAAACCCAGAUGCGCUAUUUUCCCCUGGUUUGGAACUCAUUGCUACACCUUCGCAGCAUUU